ACUAAUUAAAUCUCUCAUAAAUAUUGAGUUCAAAUUUGAUGGGCAAUCGGGCAUCAGAAUUCAUCGAUAUGUAACCCUGAUCGAAAAGUCCCAACCAGUGGGACUCUUGACCCCGGUACCCAUAAUGUGUGGAACUCAUGAUCAGAGAAUCUUGAUUCUCGAUCACUAAGUCCCAAACAUGUAGGAUUCUACACCAGCCAUCAGAUCAGAUAGGAACCUCUAAUGUGUGUGACCCC
rnacentral:lncRNA from 1 species